CGAGGAUAUACACAAAUUAGGUCUCUCUCUCUAUAGGUGAAGAGAGAGGACUAGAUCAUCAGUUCUGCGAUCUUCGUGUGUCUGUCGAGAUUCAAGAAAGCAGAGCAAAUCUUAUAUAGGAUUAUAAAGAUAUCGUAUUAUACCUCUGGAUGAUCUAGAGUUCUAAAUGAUCUGACCAAAUCAAACGUAAUUAAUACACUUAUUAACUAGUCUGAUUUAAGUAUGUAAAGAUGGAUUUGACUAAUCCUCUUUCUUAAUUACUACUCACAGUAUAUAUUUAUAAGAAAAUGUCUCCAAAUUUAAAUUCUUUACUAGAUUAUGAUCCGUUGUGUAGUUUUUACAUACUUCUUUGUUAAUGUACUAUUUUAAUACUAUUUUCUUAAUAUAUUGUUUUAUUAA